rnacentral:rRNA from 1 species
UACGAAGGGGGGCUAGCGUUGCUCGGAUUUACUGGGCGUAAAGGGCGCGUAGGCGGACAGUUAAGUUGGGGGUGAAAGCCCGGGCUCAACCUCGGAAUUGCCUUCAAUACUGGCUGUCUUGAGUGUGAGAGAGGUGUGUGGAACUCCGAGUGUAGAGGUGAAAUUCGUAGAUAUUCGGAAGAACACCAGUGGCGAAGGCGACACACUGGCUCACUACUGACGCUGAGGCACGAAAGCGUGGGGAGCAAACAGG